AGCGAGGGCGAUUGCUUCGUGCCUCCGGACACGACCGCCGCUU
rnacentral:tRNA from 1 species